CGGGACACGUGGUAUCCUGUCUGAAUAUGGGGGGACCAUCCUCCAAGGCUAAAUACUCCUGACUGACCGAUAGUGAACCAGUACCGUGAGGGAAAGGCGAAAAGAACCCCGGCGAGGGGAGUGAAAAAGAACCUGAAACCGUGUACGUACAAGCAGUGGGAGCACAGAGCAAUCUGUGUGACUGCGUACCUUUUGUAUAAUGGGUCAGCGACUUAUAUUCUGUAGCAAGGUUAACCGAAUAGGGGAGCCGAAGGGAAACCGAGUCUUAACUGGGCGUUAAGUUGCAGGGUAUAGACCCGAAACCCGGUGAUCUAGCCAUGGGCAGGUUGAAGGUUGGGUAACACUAACUGGAGGACCGAACCGACUAAUGUUGAAAAAUUAGCGGAUGACUUGUGGCUGGGGGUGAAAGGCCAAUCAAACCGGGAGAUAGCUGGUUCUCCCCGAAAGCUAUUUAGGUAGCGCCUCGUGAAUUCAUCUCCGGGGGUAGAGCACUGUUUCGGCAAGGGGGUCAUCCCGACUUACCAACCCGAUGCAAACUGCGAAUACCGGAGAAUGUUAUCACGGGAGACACACGGCGGGUGCUAACGUCCGUCGUGAAGAGGGAAACAACCCAGACCGCCAGCUAAGGUCCCAAAGUCAUGGUUAAGUGGGAAACGAUGUGGGAAGGCCCAGACAGCCAGGAUGUUGGCUUAGAAGCAGCCAUCAUUUAAAGAAAGCGUAAUAGCUCACUGGUCGAGUCGGCCUGCGCGGAAGAUGUAACGGGGCUAAACCAUGCACCGAAGCUGCGGCAGCGACGCUUAUGCGUUGUUGGGUAGGGGAGCGUUCUGUAAGCCUGUGAAGGUGUACUGUGAGGUAUGCUGGAGGUAUCAGAAGUGCGAAUGCUGACAUAAGUAACGAUAAAGCGGGUGAAAAGCCCGCUCGCCGGAAGACCAAGGGUUCCUGUCCAACGUUAAUCGGGGCAGGGUGAGUCGACCCCUAAGGCGAGGCCGAAAGGCGUAGUCGAUGGGAAACAGGUUAAUAUUCCUGUACUUGGUGUUACUGCGAAGGGGGGACGGAGAAGGCUAUGUUGGCCGGGCGACGGUUGUCCCGGUUUAAGCGUGUAGGCUGGUUUUCCAGGCAAAUCCGGAAAAUCAAGGCUGAGGCGUGAUGACGAGGCACUACGGUGCUGAAGCAACAAAUGCCCUGCUUCCAGGAAAAGCCUCUAAGCAUCAGGUAACAUCAAAUCGUACCCCAAACCGACACAGGUGGUCAGGUAGAGAAUACCAAGGCGCUUGAGAGAACUCGGGUGAAGGAACUAGGCAAAAUGGUGCCGUAACUUCGGGAGAAGGCACGCUGAUAUGUAGGUGAAGUCCCUCGCGGAUGGAGCUGAAAUCAGUCGAAGAUACCAGCUGGCUGCAACUGUUUAUUAAAAACACAGCACUGUGCAAACACGAAAGUGGACGUAUACGGUGUGACGCCUGCCCGGUGCCGGAAGGUUAAUUGAUGGGGUCAGCGCAAGCGAAGCUCUUGAUCGAAGCCCCGGUAAACGGCGGCCGUAACUAUAACGGUCCUAAGGUAGCGAAAUUCCUUGUCGGGUAAGUUCCGACCUGCACGAAUGGCGUAAUGAUGGCCAGGCUGUCUCCACCCGAGACUCAGUGAAAUUGAACUCGCUGUGAAGAUGCAGUGUACCCGCGGCAAGACGGAAAGACCCCGUGAACCUUUACUAUAGCUUGACACUGAACAUUGAGCCUUGAUG
rnacentral:rRNA from 1 species